CACGGAAUAGUUUAAAUAGAACUUCAGCUUUGGGUGUUCAUGG
rnacentral:tRNA from 1 species